rnacentral:rRNA from 1 species
GUGAACGCUGGCGGUAGGCCUAACACAUGCCAGUCGAACGGCAGCACCGUAAGAGCUUGCUCUUACGGGUGGCGAGUGGCGGACGGGUGAGGAAUACAUCGGAAUCUACUUUUUCGUGGGGGAUAACGUAGGGAAACUUACGCUAAUACCGCAUACGACCUACGGGUGAAAGCAGGGGAUCUUCGGACCUUGCGCGAUUGAAUGAGCCGAUGUCGGAUUAGCUAGUUGGCGGGGUAAAGGCCCACCAAGGCGACGAUCCGUAGCUGGUCUGAGAGGAUGAUCAGCCACACUGGAACUGAGACACGGUCCAGACUCCUACGGGAGGCAGCAGUGGGGAAUAUUGGACAAUGGGCGCAAGCCUGAUCCAGCCAUACCGCGUGUGUGAAGAAGGCCUUCGGGUUGUAAAGCCCUUUUGUUGGGAAAGAAAAGCAGCAGGUUAAUACCCCGCUGUUCUGACGGUACCCAAAGAAUAAGCACCGGCUAACUUCGUG